rnacentral:rRNA from 1 species
GAUGAACGCUAGCUACAGGCUUAACACAUGCAAGUCGAGGGGAAACGAUAGAGAAAGCUUGCUUUUUCUAGGCGUCGACCGGCGCACGGGUGAGUAACGCGUAUCCAACCUGCCCACCACUUGGGGAUAACCUUGCGAAAGUAAGACUAAUACCCAAUGAUAUCUCAAGAAGACAUCUGAAGGAGAUUAAAGAUUUAUCGGUGAUGGAUGGGGAUGCGUCUGAUUAGCUUGUUGGCGGGGUAACGGCCCACCAAGGCGACAAUCAGUAGGGGUUCUGAGAGGAAGGUCCCCCACAUUGGAACUGAGACACGGUCCAAACUCCUACGGGAGGCAGCAGUGAGGAAUAUUGGUCAAUGGGCGAGAGCCUGAACCAGCCAAGUAGCGUGCAGGAUGACGGCCCUAUGGGUUGUAAACUGCUUUUAUAAGGGAAUAAAGUGAGCCUCGUGAGGCUUUUUGCAUGUACCUUAUGAAUAAGGACCGGCUAAUUCCGUGCCAGCCGCCGCAGUAA